CAGCAGCCGCGGGAAUACCGAGGGUGCAAGCGUUAAUCGGAAUUACUGGGCGUAAAGCGCGCGUAGGUGGUUUGUUAAGUUGGAUGUGAAAUCCCCGGGCUCAACCUGGGAACUGCAUCCAAAACUGGCAAGCUAGAGUAUGGUAGAGGGUGGUGGAAUUUCCUGUGUAGCGGUGAAAUGCGUAGAUAUAGGAAGGAACACCAGUGGCGAAGGCGACCACCUGGACUGAUACUGACACUGAGGUGCGAAAGCGUGGGGAGCAAACAGGAUUAGAUACCCCCGUAGUCCCUGUCUAUUAUAC
rnacentral:rRNA from 1 species